rnacentral:rRNA from 1 species
AGAGUUUGAUCCUGGCUCAGAACGAACGCUGGCGGCAGGCCUAACACAUGCAAGUCGAGCGCCCCGCAAGGGGAGCGGCGGACGGGUGAGUAACGCGUGGGAACGUGCCCUUUGCUACGGAAUAGCCUCGGGAAACUGGGAGUAAUACCGUAUGUGCCCCUUGGGGGAAAGAUUUAUCGGCAAAGGAUCGGCCCGCGUUGGAUUAGGUAGUUGGUGGGGUAAUGGCCUACCAAGCCGACGAUCCAUAGCUGGUUUGAGAGGAUGAUCAGCCACACUGGGACUGAGACACGGCCCAGACUCCUACGGGAGGCAGCAGUGGGGAAUCUUAGACAAUGGGCGCAAGCCUGAUCUAGCCAUGCCGCGUGAGCGAUGAAGGCCUUAGGGUUGUAAAGCUCUUUCAGGGGGGAAGAUAAUGACUGUACCCCCAGAAGAAGCCCCGGCUAACUCCGUGCCAGCAGCCGCGGUAAUACGGAGGGGGCUAGCGUUGUUCGGAAUUACUGGGCGUAAAGCGCACGUAGGCGGACUGGAAAGUCAGAGGUGAAAUCCCAGGG